rnacentral:rRNA from 1 species
CAGUCGCCGCGGUAAUACGUAUGUCACAAGCGUUAUCCGGAUUUAUUGGGCGUAAAGCGCGUCUAGGUGGUUAUGUAAGUCUGAUGUGAAAAUGCAGGGCUCAACUCUGUAUUGCGUUGGAAACUGUGUAACUAGAGUACUGGAGAGGUAAGCGGAACUACAAGUGUAGAGGUGAAAUUCGUAGAUAUUUGUAGGAAUGCCGAUGGGGAAGCCAGCUUACUGGACAGAUACUGACGCUGAAGCGCGAAAGCGUGGGUAGCAAACAGGAUUAGAUACCCCUGUAGUCCCUGUCUCUUAUACA